rnacentral:rRNA from 1 species
GAUGAACGCUGGCGGCGUGCUUAACACAUGCAAGUCGAACGAUGAAGCCCAGCUUGCUGGGUGGAUUAGCGGCGAACGGGUGAGUAACACGUGAGUAACCUGCCCUUAACUCUGGGAUAAGCCUGGGAAACUGGGUCUAAUACCGGAUAGGAGCGUCCACCGCAUGGUGGGUGUUGGAAAGAUUUAUCGGUUUUGGAUGGACUCGCGGCCUAUCAGCUUGUUGGUGAGGUAAUGGCUCACCAAGGCGACGACGGGUAGCCGGCCUGAGAGGGUGACCGGCCACACUGGGACUGAGACACGGCCCAGACUCCUACGGGAGGCAGCAGUGGGGAAUAUUGCACAAUGGGCGAAAGCCUGAUGCAGCGACGCCGCGUGAGGGAUGACGGCCUUCGGGUUGUAAACCUCUUUCAGUAGGGAAGAAGCGAAAGUGACGGUACCUGCAGAAGAAGCACCGGCUAACUACGUGCCAGCAGCCGCGGUAAUACGUAGGGUGCGAGCGUUAUCCGGAAUUAUUGGCGUAAAGAGCUCGUAGGCGGUUUGUCGCGUCUGUCGUGAAAGUCCGGGGCUUAACCCCGGAUCUGCGGUGGGUACGGGCAGACUAGAGUGCAGUAGGGGAGACUGGAAUUCCUGGUGUAGCGGUGGAAUGCGCAGAUAUCAGGAGGAACACCGAUGGCGAAGGCAGGUCUCUGGGCUGUAACUGACGCUGAGGAGCGAAAGCAUGGGGAGCGAACAGGAUUAGAUACCCUGGUAGUCCAUGCCGUAAACGUUGGGCACUAGGUGUGGGGACCAUUCCACGGUUUCCGCGCCGCAGCUAACGCAUUAAGUGCCCCGCCUGGGGAGUACGGCCGCAAGGCUAAAACUCAAAGGAAUUGACGGGGGCCCGCACAAGCGGCGGAGCAUGCGGAUUAAUUCGAUGCAACGCGAAGAACCUUACCAAGGCUUGACAUGUUCUCGAUCGCCGUAGAGAUACGGUUUCCCCUUUGGGGCGGGUUCACAGGUGGUGCAUGGUUGUCGUCAGCUCGUGUCGUGAGAUGUUGGGUUAAGUCCCGCAACGAGCGCAACCCUCGUUCCAUGUUGCCAGCACGUAAUGGUGGGGACUCAUGGGAGACUGCCGGGGUCAACUCGGAGGAAGGUGAGGACGACGUCAAAUCAUCAUGCCCCUUAUGUCUUGGGCUUCACGCAUGCUACAAUGGCCGGUACAAUGGGUUGCGAUACUGUGAGGUGGAGCUAAUCCCAAAAAGCCGGUCUCAGUUCGGAUUGGGGUCUGCAACUCGACCCCAUGAAGUCGGAGUCGCUAGUAAUCGCAGAUCAGCAACGCUGCGGUGAAUACGUUCCCGGGCCU